rnacentral:tRNA from 1 species
GCAUUGGUGGUUCAGUUGUAGAAUUCUUGCUUUCCAUGUGGGAGACCAGGGUUUGAUUCCCGCCAAUGCA